rnacentral:lncRNA from 1 species
GUCAUACUGGGCCAUACUGGAAGGCACUGGGCCAUACUGGGUCAUCCUGGGUGAUAUUGGGAAGCACUGGGAUAUACUGGGAUAUACUGGGAGGGACCGGGCCAUACUGGGUCAUACUGGGAUGCAAUGGGAGGGAUAGGGAGGCACUGGGCCAUACUGGGUCAUACUGGGCCAUACUGGGCCAUACUGGGAGGCAAUGGGAGGGAUAGGGAGGCACUGGGCCAUACUGGGCCAUACUGGGUCAUACUGGGCCAUACUGGGAGGCAAUGGGAGGGAUAGGGAGGCACUGGGCCAUACUGGGUCAUACUGGGUCAUACUGGGCCAUACUGGGCCAUACUGGGAGGCAAUGGGAGGGAUAGGGAGGCACUGGGCCAUACUGGGAGGGACUGGGAGGCAAUGGGAGGGAUAGGAAGGUACUGGGCCAUACUGAGCCCUACUAGUCCCUACUGGUCCUUACUGGUCCUUACUGGUCUCUACUGGUCCCUCCUGGUCCCCCCUGGUCUGUAUUGGUCCUCAUUGAUUCCUACUGGUCCUUACUGGUCUCUACUGGUCCUUACUGGUCCCUCCUGAUCCCUACUGGUCUGUAUUGGUCCUUAUUGGUCCCUACUGGUCCUUACUGGUCCUACUGGUCCUUACUGGUCCCUAUAAGUUUCUCCUGGUCUAUACUGGGCCAUACUGGUCUAUACCGGUCCCUAAUGGCUCCUCCUGGUCCCUACUGGUCUAUACUGGUCCCUACUAGGCCAUACUGUUCCCUCCUGGUUUCUACUGGUCCUUAUUGGUCUAUACUGGUCCCUACUGGUCCCUCUUUGUCCCUACUGGUCCUUACUGAUCUAUACUGGUCCCUACAGGCCCCUCCAGGUCUAUACUGGUCCAUACUGGUCCCUAAUGGUCCCUCCUUGUCCCUUAUGGUCUAUACUGGUCCCUAUUGCUCCCUCCAGGUCCCUCCAGCCCUAUACUGGUCCAUACUGGUCCCUAUUGCUCCCUAAUGGUCCCUCCAGCCCUAUACUGGUCCAUACUGGUCUGUACUGGUCCCUAAUAGUCCCUCCAGCCCUAUACU